GGGAUAUUGCACAAUGGGCGCAAGCCUGAUGCAGCAACGCCGCGUGAAGGAAGAAGGUCUUCGGAUUGUAAACUUCUGUUUUCGGUGAAGAAACAAAUGACGGUAGCCGAAGAGGAAGCCACGGCUAACUACGUGCCAGCAGCCGCGGUAAUACGUAGGUGGCAAGCGUUGUCCGGAAUUACUGGGUGUAAAGGGUGCGUAGGCGGGUUUGCAAGUUGGAUGUGAAAUACCGGAGCUUAACUCCGGAGCUGCAUCCAAAACUGCAGAUCUUGAGUGAAGUAGAGGCAGGCGGAAUUCCGAGUGUAGCGGUGAAAUGCGUAGAUAUUCGGAGGAACACCAGUGGCGAAGGCGGCCUGCUGGGCUUUAACUGACGCUGAGGCACGAAAGCAUGGGUAGCAAACA
rnacentral:rRNA from 1 species